CAGCGCAGCUUUGCAGGCGCUGGGGCUCCCAAAGGACGGAGCUUUGAAUCCACCUGGGAGGCUUAAGAGAAAGUGCUGAGUCCCCCAUGCCCUACCCCUGAGACUGCUGACAGGCAUCGCUGAGGGCUGCAGCUUUGGAAUCGGGCAUCUUCUGAGGAAGAGAAAGGCACCACAGCCACGGCACAGAAGACUAGAGACGGGUGUCACUAUGCUGCCCAGGCUGGUCUCUCGUGGCUUCAAGAGAUAUUCCCACCUUGGUCUUCCAGAGCACUGGAAUUGAAGUUCUAGGUGCAAUGUUUUAAGGGGAAGACUUACACUAUGAAGCUAGCCCAGAAGAGGGUGACUAGAGUACUGAGGAGUUUCUACCUGGAAGGGCUGUAAGACAACUGCUAUGUUGUGAGCGGCUCUAUGGAGAGGCCCAUGUGGAGGGAAGUGAGGAAGGCCUCUGGCCAACAGUCCAGGAGGAAGUGAAGCCCUCAGUCCAACAGCCUGUGUGGAACUGAACCCUGCAAACAACUCUGUGUGUGAGCUUGGAAGUGGAUCCAUAUUCAGUCAAACCUUGAGAUGGGACACCAUGCUCUGCUAACACUUGAUUGUGGUCCCAGCUAGGCCACUGCUGAAGUCUUGACUCAGAGAAACGAUGAUAUAGUAAAUGUUUGUUGUUUCAAGUUGGUAAGUUUUGGGAUAAUUUUUUAUAUAGUGAUAAUUUUUUAUAUACUUUAAAAUAACACAUUGCCCUAUCCUUUGGUUACACUUUUCUCUUGGAACUCUGCUUGCCCAUAUAUUACAGAAAUAUUUUUCAGAUCAUGGGCUGAAAGGUGGAUUAUGGAUGCAAUGUUUAAAUUUAGCAAUGUCAUUUAUGACUGUUCAUAUGAGCUUUGCUGCAUAAAAUGUUGAUAUUAAUUUGUUUCCCUUUAAGACAUUCUUAAUGUUUACCUCUCAGUAUUUUCUUUGUAAUCAAUUAAUGUAAGAUGAAUAUAGUUUGUAGGUUUUACCUUUCUUGAUUCGUAUACAAAACACACAACAUCCAACCAUUGUUAUUUAAAGAUUAUCUAGGAGGAGAUGAUGGAAACUCUGUUUUGGGCCACCUUCUUUACACAUUGGGUCUAUUUCCCCUAACUUGAGUAUAUAUUAAACUAGUGGGGGAUUGAGCUACAAAAAUGCUACUUGGUGAGAAUUUUAUUAAUACAAAUACUCAACUCUGAAGUUACGUUUUUGUGGAAAGUUAUCACUUUGGAAUUUGAAUUUUCUUGGAGCUAAGCCACUGGUAGUUGUAAAAGCUACACCUGUAAAUUUGCUCCCUAGAAGAUACUUUCGUUUAGUGACCACUUGUUUCUCUGUGGAUAAAUUCAAUUAUAAAUUACAAUCGAAUUGACGUUUUCAUAGCAUCCUUCACUCUCCAAGUAUCUCAAGUCCUCUGUGAAUUAUAAAGUAAUUACAGUGCUCAAAGGACAGUUUCAUAAUUGUGUCCAUGAGCACAGACUUUCCUCUAUGUUCGAGAAGGGCUCAUUCCCAGCCGGGAACAUUAAGUUGGAUUUUAUUGAGACUGGGGACUGCUAGUCCAGACAGCUGGGUGAUCCCCUGCGCUAUUUUGAAAAGUAUCCUGGGAUCUUUAAUUUCCACCUGGAUGGUCAGGGAGGUGAGAGAACGGCCCUCACUGGGUGUGACCUUGUAUCCCACUUGGGGUCUUGAACCAGGGGACCCCCAACCCCAGAGGUGAGACAUGCAAUAUGGUCAAUUAUACAACCUCUUAAUUAUUUUUUGCUGAAUCUCAAGUGAGUUCUCAUGGCCUGCUCUCUCCCGGGUGGGUUCAGAAGGUGGCCAAGAAGAAAUGUUAGAAAAUUCCCAGAGAGCCAUUUCAUGAGAAUGUUUUCUUUGGUUUAUACCUGAUACUGUUUUGUUUUUGUUGUUGCUUUUUAAUAACUUUUUUUUCUUUUUGUGGGGUCAUUUGCGUAAUACACAGGUGACGAACACUCAAGGUUAUUUGGUCGCAUGCCACCAAAUAACUUUCCUUUGGCACAUCUGCAGUGAAGGAGUCUUUCUGUCUGUCUCCUUUUGUUCCUCAUCAUCUAUUAGCUUGGCACAGCUGACUGAGCUGUUAAAUGAUUACUGCAUAUUUUGUACCUCACCUUGAGAGGCUUUGGUAUAAAAAGGUGCUAAUUAAGCUGAAGCUUCUGGCCCUCUUGCCUAUGUGGGCCCCAGGAAGCGAAGCAAAAAGACUUUAGGGAGCUGGAGCUUGUGUGUGUGUGUGUGUGUGUGUGUGUGUGUGUGUGUGUGUGUGUGUGUGUGUGUGUUUCGUUUUCAGCAUUUUGAGGAAUUGUUACUGGAACUUAUAAAAUAAUUGUUUUAGACCUUAUAAACACAGCAAAUUCUUCAAACUACGUAUGAGGCUGACUCAAAAAGCCACGUAAAGGUAGCUUGGCGAAUCAACUAACUGCUGACCAGUUUGUGGUGAUCGUAAGUCUAUAUAUGCUGGAUUUGGCGAUCGUAAGUCUAUAUAUGCUGGAUUUGAAUAUUUUCUGUAUUUAAAGAAAAAUAAGUACAUUCUAAGAAUAGUUGUCAUCUCCCUCUGUAGACUUGCCCCGUAGAUAUUUGAAAUGGGGAUUAACAUAUUUAAGAGUAGCAGGAAGUGCUAUUUCAUCAGUGUCUAGAAUGGGAGGCGAAUUCAGUCCCUGCCUGGACUUGUUGACUAGCUCGCUGGGUUGUGAAAACCACGGCAUUCUCCUGGGAAUUUGUUCCAGGGCACUGACUGCAUUUCUUCUGAAGCUAAAGCACUUAGCUUUGCUUCCAUGCCUUUUAAUAUAAUUUGUAGGCUUCAGCAGAUUUCUAAAGUACACCACUUGAUAUCUUUCACAGCUCAAGGUAAAUUCUGCAGCACGAACUUAUAGAAUUUUUUUCUUUUACCUGGGGUGAGAACAUACCUUUUCCUAGUGCUAUUUUUUUUUUCUGGGCUACCUUUCAUCUGUUUACAUGAAUUCCACUUCUUCUCGCUGUGUUAAAGAAAUCCCCUAAGCUGUCUACAUAGGUGUGAAACUUUUGGUUGUGAUUUCCUUGAAGUUAGUUGGAACUGGAACAUUUUUUUCUGUGUCCUGAAUGGCUCACACAUUCCCUAACACAGAAUGGAUACUCAGCGAACAGUUGUUGAAUCAGUGAACGGUAAUGGCUCAGUUCUGUCAGACAAUGGAUUGAAUUAUUUUUACACCUUUAAUUCACUCAUGGACUGAAUUAACCUACUCAUGGGCUGUUUGGGGCAUCAAGUGAUAUUUAUACAUUUCUGAAGAAUGUGGAAUCACCAGGGUUAACAGUGUUUGCAGGUGGCGUUCGAUUGCAGGGGCCCAAGGAACCACGGCUGAAUUCCGCAUGGACAUAGGCCAUUUUCCACCAGCAAAGUUAUGAGAACUUUUUUUGUUUUGGUAACUGAUGUGAAAUUUUCAGUUCCGAAUGACAUCCAGAAACUCUCCUUCUGCAGCAGAUGAAUGUUUUGAGGGAAUUUGAGAGGAGGGUUUGUCUUUUAUCUCUCACCUGCACGAGGACACUUGCAGUCUCUUAAGAGAUGUUCUCUUUUUGAAAUGGUGGAAGGACAGAAGCAUCAGCCAGCCCGUUCAUGCUUGGGGACAGAGAGGGAGCUCAGAGCUUAGGGGAGCACAGGUCACUCUAAUGAAUGACAGCUGUAAUAAUAAAGACAUGCCAUCCAUGCUACUUUUUGCAGAAACCAGAAACAUCCUUGUGAAAGUUAAAGGGAAAAGAAAAACGUGUACUUUGAGGGGGGUGUUAACGGGGGACAGGAGGUGGCGACAUAAAAGACUGGUUUAAUGUGUCUCGUUGUAGCCCCUAAGGCUUUACCUGACCCCAUCACUGUCACAACACCUUCUUCGGGACUGACAGUCUUGGUAAUUGAUGGGUUGGUGGGGGCUUUUUUCUGCAAACACAUUAAGGCAGGAGGGAAUACUCUGGCCCCCACCUCCCCACGCCUGGCACGGGGGACCUGGAGGCGAGCAGACACCAGGCCCGGCGGUGUUGGGGGCAGAAGGGAUCAAUUCUGUCAACCAGACUGCCCAGCUACUGUCAGGCACUGGGACCCUUCACCUGCUCCUUGGAGUCAUUAGAACUCCCAAAUCUCUUUGCAGGCCUUUUCUAUUAGACACAUACUCCCAUGUUUUGAUUUUUUGCUCCCAAAGUCAUUUUUUUAAAUAAUUACCUGCAUCGAACCACACUUACCAUCUGUGGGCUGAGAGCGGGCAAAUGAUUUAUUAGUCUUGGUUUCUAACGGUGCUGAGCAGCUUGGGAUCGAUCUUGCUGGUGACACACUCGGCAGAUGCACCGAUGGGUGGGAGGGUCAAUGUCAGGAUGAAGCUUCUUGCGGAGCUGACAUGCACGUGGGGACCCCAGGUGUGGUGUUUAGUUGGUAGACUGUGACAUUGCAAAAGUGGAGUCUCAAGCCAUGGCGGAUAACAGGCGGCAGAAAAAGCAGUGAGGGAGCUUCUUGGGAUGUUUUACUUUAAGUAGAAAGUAAAACUGUGCAUGAAAAGAGGGGACAGAGUAUGCAACCCAAAUCAUCGCCAAGGCUCUUGGUUUCUUCUGUGCACACUGCCUGCCUUGUAUCCAAGCGUUUGACUGUGCAGAGGCCAGUCAUACUGGGGGACCCUGAGCACUACCCUUGGCAUUUGGGUAUAUCCUGAUCAAUAUAGCCAUUUCCACUGCUUGACAUUAUGUUUUGGGGGCUAGUUUUUUAAAGAUCAAUGAUUGAAUUGCUGCUCGGCUGAUUGGAUAUGUCUUCUCGGAGACUCACCUGUCCUCCCCGAAGAGAUGCUGACUACACAACAGCAGUCACUGUGCUGGGCACACGGGCAGUGUUCAGGAGACGUGGCUUCCUUUCUUCUUCUUUCAUUUCUUCCUGCCCAGAACAGCAAGGCUGAGACUGAUAAUAAAAUUCCUGGAACAUGGAGAAACUCAUGUGGGGAGAAAAGAAGAAAUGUAUUGUGACUUCCAUGGGCUUUUGGCACUUUUGGACCUCCCUCCUCCUCUUUUCCAUAAAAAAUGUAUUUUAAGACAUAUUGGUAUAAAGAUGAGAUUAUUCAUAGUACAUAUUAAAAUGUUUUCCCCUACCUAAAAGUUUGUGGUUUUAUUGUCUUCUUGUUUUUAAAAUAAAUUAAAAUAUUUUCAAAGGCCGUUAGAAGAACCGUGGGCCCUGGGCUUGGUGCCUGCUGUGCCUCAUAAAUCAGGCCUGGAGAAGAGACAUCAGUGACAUUUUAGUGUCAGGUAGAAAAUGUAAAAUAUCAUGAUUGUUUUCCAAUGAUAUACUAAGUAAGACACAUAAGAUGUGUUUUAAUUUUUUUCUUGAUGUAUGCUGUUGUCUUUUAGUUAUAAAUGCUGAGUACUGUUAAAAGAUAAACUGAGGCACAAUAAAAUUUGAAGAGUUUAUUUGAGCAAACAAUGAUUUGUUACCGAAACACCAGGGGUUCAUCUGGGUCCUGCUGCUUGCCACACAGAAAGCCAAUCACUGAG
rnacentral:lncRNA from 1 species